rnacentral:rRNA from 1 species
AUACGUAGGGGGCGAGCGUUGUCCGGAAUGAUUGGGCGUAAAGGGCGCGUAGGCGGCGCGGUAAGUCUGGAGUGAAAGUCCUGCUUUCAAGGUGGGAAUUGCUUUGGAUACUGCCGCGCUUGAGUGCAGGAGAGGUUAUCGGAAUUCCCGGUGUAGCGGUGAAAUGCGUAGAGAUCGGGAGGAACACCAGUGGCGAAGGCGGGUAACUGGACUGCAACUGACGCUGAGGCGCGAAAGUGUGGGGAGCAAACAGGAUUAGAUACCCUGGUAGUCCACACUGUAAACGAUGAAUGCUAGGUGUAAGAGGUAUUGACCCCUUUUGUGCCGGAGUCAACACAAUAAGCAUUCCGCCUGGGGAGUACGGCCGCAAGGUUGAAACUUAAAGGAAUUGACGGGG